AGUAAAUUAGAGAAUGCUGAAGUACACUCCAGAGAGGAGAGAAUUUAUAAGACGUAAAUAAGCAAACUCCAAUUUCAAUCUAAGAUAUUAAGCCACCUCACUAUCGCAUUAUUUCAUUAGUAAGGGUUAGGGAGCUUUCGAUUAUUUCAGGGUGGCAGAAGUCCUGAGGUGAACGUUGCUCCAGUUGGCUAACUAUCGUAACUUUGGUAAUAAGAGCUGAAUACUGGUGAGCCAUUACACCGAUAUCACUUGACAUCCUAUGCCAAUUCCUCAAAGUCCUCGGUGUCAAUGCCUUUAGACACUUGGUUACCUGACAAUAUCCUUAGACACCUAGUCCUUUGCAAAUGUUCCUAGACACUUGGUUCCGAAUAAAUAACUAGGAACAAUAUCCAAGAGAAUAUAAGAUAAAGAUAUUUAAUUUAGAAGGUUAAAAAAAGACAAAACAGGUGUAAAAUAAAGGUAAUUUGAGCGUAAAGUCAACUGAAUUGAAGACAAGAAGAGCGGAGUAAACUACAUCCAUGAUGUGAUUUGAUUGCGAUCAGCUAUGGAAAAACUGGCGUUGGCCUAGCCUACUUGAAUUUGAAAACGCAAUUGUUGAACACAGAUUUCGACAGAAAUUCAAAGGAUCUUAAAGAAUUGAUGGAUGAUAGAUGGGUCAAGUUAACGUUAAGCUUAUAGUAAGGUUUUGGAAGGAAACAAUGACAUGUUCACCGUUAGGACUCGUGGUUGUAGCCAUGUAGGAGACGCUUCGAGAUAGGCCUAGUAGGACAGAUCCGAUUGAGACGAAGUACAGGAUUUAAUGAAGACUCGCACCGAUACCCUAACAUGAACAUGUUUGAGCCUCGAAACCUGCCUUGCUCAUGAUAAUGCCGAGUCAUAGCCUUGAUGUCAGUUGCCAGGAAACAACAGAAGUUGCAGAUUAGGCAUAGUUGCAGGACGGUAUUCAACACUGUUUAAAAUGAAACAACUGAACGUGGCGGAUCCAGGGUUUCCAAAAGGGAGAGGGGCUCAAGUGAAAGUCAAAUAUUAGCCAAAAAAUCAGCCAUUUUGGGUGCCAAUCUGGAAAUUUACUCGCACUAUUUCCAUUUUUUAAAAUUUGUGGGGAAAAUGAGGAAAGACCUCUAAAUCCCCCACUACAUUGCAAAAGCAAGAAUCCAGGUGAAAGUACCUUACUUUUGAAGUAGUAAUUGUAAUCAUACGCAAGACAAGACUGAUCACAUGACCGACUUCAUAUUACAAGAAAUUGAAUAUCAAUUUCAUUAGUAUUGUCAUAUAAGGAAGUACAUUAGCAAAUGUAAAUAUUUAAAAAUGUUGUGGAGAAUUGUGCUAGUGAGGAACUUUAAAAAUGGAUAGAAUACAUAUGAACACGAACAAAUAGAUUAAACAGAUUUUGUUUAAAACAACACCGAUAGGAAACCAAUGAAAUAGGCUAAGAUAAUGAACAGUAAUCAAUUUCAUAAAUCUUAUGAAGAAUACAAACUUGAGAACAGGGAAACAUAGGCCCAUGAAAAAAACACCCAAACCCCCCCCCCAAAAAAAAAAAACCCAAAAAAACCUCAUCUCAACCAAAAGAGCAAAAUAGAAUGUUUUCUGGUAACAAGAAUAGACGUAAUGAGAGUAAUAGUUACUGUUCAGAGGAAACAAAAUAUAAAGUUAGAAGCACUAAGAAAAACCAGAGAGCAGGGGCAAAAGAUCAAAUGACCAUUGGAUCAUUCUUAAAGGACGUAGGUAUACUCUUAAAUGUUCAUAUCUAUGGAAAGGUGAAGAUAACGAUUAGUGAUCAAUUUCAUAACUCCUAUAAGGAAUACAAUAAAAAAUUAAGAGUUGAGCAAACG